UACGUAGGGGGCAAGCGUUGUCCGGAUUUAUUGGGCGUAAAGAGCGUGUAGGCGGCCAAAUAGGUCGGUUGUGAAAACUGGAGGCUUAACCUCCAGACGUCGACCGAAACCAUCUGGCUAGAGUCCGGAAGAGGAGAGUGGAAUUCCUGGUGUAGCGGUGAAAUGCGCAGAUAUCAGGAAGAAUAUCCGUGGCGAAGGCGGCUCUCUGGGACGGUACUGACGCUGAGACGCGAAAGCGUGGGGAGCAAACAGG
rnacentral:rRNA from 1 species